ensembl:snoRNA small nucleolar RNA SNORA35
CUGCACUGUUAAGUGACUGGAAGGCUCCUCAAUGCCUCUCUAAUCUCAUUCCAGUGCUACAGAAACCUCAGUUUGCAGAAGGACUGGGCCAGACCAGUGGCCCCCCCCUUUCGAAGGCUGAGAACACCC